rnacentral:rRNA from 1 species
GACGAACGCUGGCGGCGUGCGUAACACAUGCAAGUCGGACGGGAGGGUUGGAUUUAUCUGACGCUCCAGUGGCGGACGGGUGAGUAACGCGUGAGCAACCUAUCCAUAAGAGGGGGAUAACACCUGGAAACGGGUGCUAAUACCGCAUAAGACCACGUCACCGCAUGGUGGAGGGGUAAAAGGAGUAAUCCGCUUAAGGGUGGGCUCGCGUUCCAUUAGGUAGUUGGUGAGGUAACGGCUCACCAAGCCUACGAUGGGUAGCCGGUCUGAGAGGAUGUACGGCCACACUGGGACUGAGACACGGCCCAGACUCCUACGGGAGGCAGCAGUGGGGAAUAUUGGGCAAUGGGGGAAACCCUGACCCAGCGACGCCGCGUGAGGGAAGAAGGUUUUCGGAUUGUAAACCUCUGUCAUGCGGAAAGAAGGAAGUGACGGUACCGCAUGAGGAAGCCCCGGCUAACUACGUGCCAGCAGCCGGGUAAACAUACUCGUA